GUAUAAUGGGUCAGCGACUUAUAUUCUGUAGCAAGGUUAACCGAAUAGGGGAGCCGGAGGGAAACCGAGUCUUAACCGGGCGUUAAGUUGCAGGGUAUAGACCCGAAACCCGGUGAUCUAGCCAUGGGCAGGUUGAAGGUUGGGUAACACUAACUGGAGGACCGAACCGACUAAUGUUGAAAAAUUAGCGGAUGACCUGUGGCUGGGGGUGAAAGGCCAAUCAAACCGGGAGAUAGCUGGUUCUCCCCGAAAGCUAUUUAGGUAGCGCCUCGUGAACUCAUCUCCGGGGGUAGAGCACUGUUUCGGCUAGGGGGCCAUCCCGGCUUACCAACCCGAUGCAAACUGCGAAUACCGGAGAAUGUUAUCACGGGAGACACACGGCGGGUGCUAACGUCCGUCGUGAAGAGGGAAACAACCCAGACCGCCAGCUAAGGUCCCAAAGUCAUGGUUAAGUGGGAAACGAUGUGGGAAGGCCCAGACAGCCAGGAUGUUGGCUUAGAAGCAGCCAUCAUUUAAAGAAAGCGUAAUAGCUCACUGGUCGAGUCGGCCUGCGCGGAAGAUGUAACGGGGCUAAACCAUGCACCGAAGCUGCGGCAGCGACACUCAGGUGUUGUUGGGUAGGGGAGCGUUCUGUAAGCCUGCGAAGGUGGCCUGUGAGGGUUGCUGGAGGUAUCAGAAGUGCGAAUGCUGACAUAAGUAACGAUAAAGCGGGUGAAAAGCCCGCUCGCCGGAAGACCAAGGGUUCCUGUCCAACGUUAAUCGGGGCAGGGUGAGUCGACCCCUAAGGCGAGGCCGAAAGGCGUAGUCGAUGGGAAACGGGUUAAUAUUCCCGUACUUGGUGUUACUGCGAAGGGGGGACGGAGAAGGCUAUGUUGGCCGGGCGACGGUUGUCCCGGUUUAAGCGUGUAGGUGUGUGUUCCAGGUAAAUCCGGUUCACUUUAACACUGAGGCGUGAUGACGAGGCACUACGGUGCUGAAGCAACAAAUGCCCUGCUUCCAGGAAAAGCCUCUAAGCAUCAGGUAACAUCAAAUCGUACCCCAAACCGACACAGGUGGUCAGGUAGAGAAUACCAAGGCGCUUGAGAGAACUCGGGUGAAGGAACUAGGCAAAAUGGUGCCGUAACUUCGGGAGAAGGCACGCUGACACGUAGGUGAAGUGAUUUACUCAUGGAGCUGAAGUCAGUCGAAGAUACCAGCUGGCUGCAACUGUUUAUUAAAAACACAGCACUGUGCAAACACGAAAGUGGACGUAUACGGUGUGACGCCUGCCCGGUGCCGGAAGGUUAAUUGAUGGGGUCAGCGCAAGCGAAGCUCCUGAUCGAAGCCCCGGUAAACGGCGGCCGUAACUAUAACGGUCCUAAGGUAGCGAAAUUCCUUGUCGGGUAAGUUCCGACCUGCACGAAUGGCGUAAUGAUGGCCAGGCUGUCUCCACCCGAGACUCAGUGAAAUUGAACUCGCUGUGAAGAUGCAGUGUACCCGCGGCAAGACGGAAAGACCCCGUGAACCUUUACUAUAGCUUGACACUGAACAUUGAGCCUUGAUGUGUAGGAUAGGUGGGAGGCUUUGAAGUGUGGACGCCAGUCUGCAUGGAGCCGGCCUUGAAAUACCACCCUUUAAUGUUUGAUGUUCUAACGUGGACCCGUGAUCCGGGUUGCGGACAGUGUCUGGUGGGUAGUUUGACUGGGGCGGUCUCCUCCUAAAGAGUAACGGAGGAGCACGAAGGUUGGCUAAUCCUGGUCGGACAUCAGGAGGUUAGUGCAAUGGCAUAAGCCAGCUUGACUGCGAGCGUGACGGCGCGAGCAGGUGCGAAAGCAGGUCAUAGUGAUCCGGUGGUUCUGAAUGGAAGGGCCAUCGCUCAACGGAUAAAAGGUACUCCGGGGAUAACAGGCUGAUACCGCCCAAGAGUUCAUAUCGACGGCGGUGUUUGGCACCUCGAUGUCGGCUCAUCACAUCCUGGGGCUGAAGUAGGUCCCAAGGGUAUGGCUGUUCGCCAUUUAAAGUGGUACGCGAGCUGGGUUUAGAACGUCGUGAGACAGUUCGGUCCCUAUCUGCCGUGGGCGCUGGAGAACUGAGGGGGGCUGCUCCUAGUACGAGAGGACCGGAGUGGACGCAUCACUGGUGUUCGGGUUGUCAUGCCAAUGGCACUGCCCGGUAGCUAAAUGCGGAAGAGAUAAGUGCUGAAAGCAUCUAAGCACGAAACUUGCCCCGAGAUGAGUUCUCCCUGAGACUUUAGGUCUCCUGAAGGAACGUUGAAGACGACGACGUUGAUAGGCCGGGUGUGUAAGCGCAGCGAUGCGUUGAGCUAACCGGUACUAAUGAACCGUGAGGCUUAACCUUACA
rnacentral:rRNA from 1 species